rnacentral:rRNA from 1 species
GUAGGGAAUUUUCGUCAAUGGGGGGAACCCUGAACGAGCAAUGCCGCGUGAGUGAGGAAGGUCUUCGGAUCGUAAAGCUCUGUUGUAAGAGAAAAACGGCACUCAUAGGGAAUGAUGAGUGAGUGAUGGUAUCUUACCAGAAAGUCACGGCUAACUACGUGCCAGCAGCCGCGGUAAUACGUAGGUGGCGAGCGUUAUCCGGAAUGAUUGGGCGUAAAGGGUGCGUAGGUGGCAGAUCAAGUCUGGAGUAAAAGGUAUGGGCUCAACCCGUACUGGCUCUGGAAACUGAUCCGCUAGAGAACAGAAGAGGACGGCGGAACUCCAUGUGUAGCGGUAAAAUGCGUAGAUAUAUGGAAGAACACCGGUGGCGAAGGCGGCCGUCUGGUCUGGAUUCUGACACUGAAGCACGAAAGCGUGGGGAGCAAAUAGGAUUAGAAACCCUAGUAGUCCC